rnacentral:rRNA from 1 species
CAGCAGCCGCGGUAAUACGAAGGGGGCUAGCGUUGUUCGGAUUUACUGGGCGUAAAGCGCACGUAGGCGGAUCGAUCAGUCAGGGGUGAAAUCCUGGAGCUCAACUCCAGAACUGCCUUUAAGACUGCCGAGCUAGCAGGUGAGAGAGGUAAGUGGAAUUCCGAGUGUAGAGGUGAAAUUCGUAGAUAUUCGGAGGAACACCAGUGGCGAAGGCGGCUUACUGGCUCAAACUGGACGCUGAGGUGCGAAAGCGUGGGGAGCAAACAGGAUUAGAUACCCCCGUAGUCCCUGUCUCUUAUAA